rnacentral:rRNA from 1 species
GGGGAAUAUUGGACAAUGGGCGAAAGCCUGAUCCAGCCAUGCCGCGUGUGUGAAGAAGGUCUUCGGAUUGUAAAGCACUUUAAGUUGGGAGGAAGGGCAGUAAGUUAAUACCUUGCUGUUUUGACGUUACCAACAGAAUAAGCACCGGCUAACUUCGUGCCAGCAGCCGCGGUAAUACGAAGGGGGCUAGCGUUAUCCGGAUUUACUGGGCGUAAAGGGUGCGUAGGUGGUUUCUUAAGUCAGGAGUGAAAGGCUACGGCUCAACCGUAGUAAGCUCUUGAAACUGGGAAACUUGAGUGCAGGAGAGGAAAGUGGAAUUCCUAGUGUAGCGGUGAAAUGCGUAGAUAUUAGGAGGAACACCAGUAGCGAAGGCGACUUUCUGGUCUGCAACUGACGCUGAGGCGCGAAAGCAUGGGGAGCAAACA